rnacentral:rRNA from 1 species
GACCGCCAGCUAAGGUCCCAAAGUCAUGGUUAAGUGGGAAACGAUGUGGGAAGGCCCAGACAGCCAGGAUGUUGGCUUAGAAGCAGCCAUCAUUUAAAGAAAGCGUAAUAGCUCACUGGUCGAGUCGGCCUGCGCGGAAGAUGUAACGGGGCUAAACCAUGCACCGAAGCUGCGGCAGCGACGCUUAUGCGUUGUUGGGUAGGGGAGCGUUCUGUAAGCCUGUGAAGGUGUGCUGUGAGGUAUGCUGGAGGUAUCAGAAGUGCGAAUGCUGACAUAAGUAACGAUAAAGCGGGUGAAAAGCCCGCUCGCCGGAAGACCAAGGGUUCCUGUCCAACGUUAAUCGGGGCAGGGUGAGUCGACCCCUAAGGCGAGGCCGAAAGGCGUAGUCGAUGGGAAACAGGUUAAUAUUCCUGUACUUGGUGUUACUGCGAAGGGGGGACGGAGAAGGCUAUGUUGGCCGGGCGACGGUUGUCCCGGUUUAAGCGUGUAGGCUGGUUUUCCAGGCAAAUCCGGAAAAUCAAGGCCGAGGCGUGAUGACGAGGCACUACGGUGCUGAAGCAACAAAUGCCCUGCUUCCAGGAAAAGCCUCUAAGCAUCAGGUAACAUCAAAUCGUACCCCAAACCGACACAGGUGGUCAGGUAGAGAAUACCAAGGCGCUUGAGAGAACUCGGGUGAAGGAACUAGGCAAAAUGGUGCCGUAACUUCGGGAGAAGGCACGCUGAUACGUAGGUGAAGCGACUUGCUCGUGGAGCUGAAAUCAGUCGAAGAUACCAGCUGGCUGCAACUGUUUAUUAAAAACACAGCACUGUGCAAACACGAAAGUGGACGUAUACGGUGUGACGCCUGCCCGGUGCCGGAAGGUUAAUUGAUGGGGUUAGCGCAAGCGAAGCUCUUGAUCGAAGCCCCGGUAAACGGCGGCCGUAACUAUAACGGUCCUAAGGUAGCGAAAUUCCUUGUCGGGUAAGUUCCGACCUGCACGAAUGGCGUAAUGAUGGCCAGGCUGUCUCCACCCGAGACUCAGUGAAAUUGAACUCGCUGUGAAGAUGCAGUGUACCCGCGGCAAGACGGAAAGACCCCGUGAACCUUUACUAUAGCUUGACACUGAACAUUGAGCCUUGAUGUGUAGGAUAGGUGGGAGGCUUUGAAGUGUGGACGCCAGUCUGCAUGGAGCCGACCUUGAAAUACCACCCUUUAAUGUUUGAUGUUCUAACGUGGACCCGUGAUCCGGGUUGCGGACAGUGUCUGGUGGGUAGUUUGACUGGGGCGGUCUCCUCCUAAAGAGUAACGGAGGAGCACGAAGGUUGGCUAAUCCUGGUCGGACAUCAGGAGGUUAGUGCAAUGGCAUAAGCCAGCUUGACUGCGAGCGUGACGGCGCGAGCAGGUGCGAAAGCAGGUCAUAGUGAUCCGGUGGUUCUGAAUGGAAGGGCCAUCGCUCAACGGAUAAAAGGUACUCCGGGGAUAACAGGCUGAUACCGCCCAAGAGUUCAUAUCGACGGCGGUGUUUGGCACCUCGAUGUCGGCUCAUCACAUCCUGGGGCUGAAGUAGGUCCCAAGGGUAUGGCUGUUCGCCAUUUAAAGUGGUACGCGAGCUGGGUUUAGAACGUCGUGAGACAGUUCGGUCCCUAUCUGCCGUGGGCGCUGGAGAACUGAGGGGGGCUGCUCCUAGUACGAGAGGACCGGAGUGGACGCAUCACUGGUGUUCGGGUUGUCAUGCCAAUGGCACUGCCCGGUAGCUAAAUGCGGAAGAGAUAAGUGCUGAAAGCAUCUAAGCACGAAACUUGCCCCGAGAUGAGUUCUCCCUGACCCUUUAAGGGUCCUGAAGGAACGUUGAAGACGACGACGUUGAUAGGCCGGGUGUGUAAGCGCAGCGAUGCGUUGAGCUAACCGGUACUAAUGAACCGUGAGGCUUAACCUUACAACGCCGAAG